rnacentral:rRNA from 1 species
UGGAGGGCAAGUCUGGUGCCAGCAGCCGCGGUAAUUCCAGCUCCAAUAGCGUAUAUUAAAGUUGUUGCAGUUAAAAAGCUCGUAGUGGAAUUUUUGAUCUGGCCAAGGUGUCGGCCGCAAGGUCUGUACUUCUUGGCUGGAUCUUUCCUUCUGGAGAGCCAUUAUGCCAUUUAUUUGGUGUUUUGGGGAUCCAGGACUUUUACCUUGAAAAAAUUAGAGUGUUUAAAGCAGGCAUACGCUUGAAUACAUUAGCAUGGAAUAAUAGAAUAGGACUUUGGUUCUAUUUUGUUGGUUUCUAGGACCGAAGUAAUGAUUAAUAGGGACAGUUGGGGGCAUUAGUAUUUCAAAGUCAGAGGUGAAAUUCUUGGAUUUUUGAAAGACUAACUUCUGCGAAAGCAUUUGCCAAGGAUGUUUUCAUUAAUCAAGAACGAAAGUUAGGGGAUCGAGGACGAUCAGAUACCGUCGUAGUCUUAACCAUAAACUAUGCCGACUAGGGAUCGGACGAUGUUACUUUAUUGACUCGUUCGGCGCCUUACGGGAAAC